rnacentral:rRNA from 1 species
CCUACGGGAGGCAGCAGUGGGGGAUAUUGCACAAUGGGGGGAACCCUGAUGCAGCGACGCCGCGUGGGUGAAGGAGUAUUUAGGUAUGUAAAGCCCUAUCGGCAGGGAAGAAUUUAGACGGUACCUGACUAAGAAGCCACGGCUAACUACGUGCCAGUCGCCGCGGUAAUACGCAGGGGGCAAGCGUAAUCCGGAUUUACUGGGGGUAAAGGGAGCGCAGGCGGCUGUGCAAGUCUGGAGUGAAAGGCGGGGGCCCAACCCCCGGACUGCUGUGGAAACUGUAAAGCUGGAGUGCAGGAGCGGUAAGCGGAAUUCCUGGUGUAGCGGUGAAAUGCGUAGAUAUUAGGCGGAACACCAGUGGCGAAGGCGGCUUACUGGACUGCAACUGACGUUGAGGCUCGAAAGCGUGGGGAGCAAACAGGAUUAGAUACCCGAGUAGUC